rnacentral:rRNA from 1 species
CCUACGGGGGGCUGCAGUGGGGAAUAUUGGACAAUGGGGGCAACCCUGAUCCAGCCAUGCCGCGUGUGUGAAGAAGGCCCUCGGGUUGUAAAGCACUUUCAGUGAGGAAGAACGCCUGGUGGUUAAUACCCAUCAGGAAAGACAUCACUCACAGAAGAAGCACCGGCUAACUCCGUGCCAGCAGCCGCGGUAAUACGGAGGGUGCGAGCGUUAAUCGGAAUUACUGGGCGUAAAGCGCGCGUAGGUGGCUUGAUAAGCCGGUUGUGAAAGCCCCGGGCUCAACCUGGGAACGGCAUCCGGAACUGUCAAGCUAGAGUGCAGGAGAGGAAGGUAUAAUUCCCGGUGUAGCGGUGAAAUGCGUAGAGAUCGGGAGGAAUACCAGUGGCGAAGGCGGCCUUCUGGACUGACACUGACACUGAGGUGCGAAAGCGUGGGUAGCAAACAGGAUUAGAUACCCUUGUAGUC